CGAGGUACAAUUUUAGAGCUUGCUCUAAGUUGUGCCGAGUGGCGGACGGGUGAGUAACACGUGAGCAACCUGCCCUGGAGUGGGGGAUAACGUCUGGAAACGGACGCUAAUACCGCAUAACAUCCCGGUGUGGCAUCACAUUGGGAUCAAAGGAUUUAUUCGCUUUGGGAUGGGCUCGCGCCCGAUUAGAUAGUUGGUGAGGUAAUGGCUCACCAAGUCUGCGAUCGGUAGCCGGACUGAGAGGUUGAUCGUCCACAUUGGGACUGAGACACGGCCCAGACUCCUACGGGAGGCAGCAGUGGGGGAUAUUGCACAAUGGGGGAAACCCUGAUGCAGCGACGCCGCGUGAGUGAAGACGGCCUUCGGGUUGUAAAGCUCUGUCGAGGGGGACGAAGAAUGACGGUACCCCUCAAGAAAGCCACGGCUAACUACGUGCCAGCAGCCGCGGUAAUACGUAGGUGGCGAGCGUUGUCCGGAAUUACUGGGUGUAAAGGGAGCGUAGGCGGGGGUUUAAGUUGGAUGUGAAAUACUCAGGCUCAACCUGAGGGCUGCAUCC
rnacentral:rRNA from 1 species